AACGAACGCUGGCGGCAGGCCUAACACAUGCAAGUCGAACGCCGUAGCAAUACGGAGUGGCAGACGGGUGAGUAACACGUGGGAACGUACCCUUCGGUUCGGAAUAACUCAGGGAAACUUGAGCUAAUACCGGAUACGUCCGAGAGGAGAAAGAUUUAUCGCCGAGGGAUCGGCCCGCGUCUGAUUAGCUUGUUGGUGAGGUAACGGCUCACCAAGGCGACGAUCAGUAGCUGGUCNGAGAGGAUGAUCAGCCACAUUGGGACUGAGACACGGCCCAAACUCCUACGGGAGGCAGCAGUGGGGAAUAUUGGACAAUGGGCGCAAGCCUGAUCCAGCCAUGCCGCGUGAGUGAUGAAGGCCCUAGGGUUGUAAAGUCCUUUCGGCGGGGAAGAUAAUGACGGUACCCGCAGAAGAAGCCCCGGCUAACUUCGUGCCAGCCGCCGC
rnacentral:rRNA from 1 species